UGGCUUCCUGACAGUUUACUUUUCAUAAGACUCUGCGUAAGUUCUGAAAAUUCUCACAUCACCAGAGUGACAGAGAUCCACCUAUUAGUAUCUGAAUAAUAAGUCAUCGACUUUUUUUUUCAAGCUGAAAAUAUCUUUAUUUAAGACAUUUUAUUUGAAAACACUCUGGGUUGUAACUAUCCCAAACAAGCAAUAAAUGCACAUAAAUUAUCUGUGGUAAUGAUUCACUCUUAGGCUACAUUCCUUAGCAACUCUGAACUCAAGAGAAUGAACACAUAUUUCAAGUGUCCGAAUUAAGUAGAAUUACGAAAAACUGGAGAGCAAAAUAUUUUUUUAAAGGAUGAAAAUGUCUAAACCCAUGCAAGGUCAAGCUGAAAUGACCUUUACUUGGGCAGGGUCCUGUGGUCUGUACUCUGCUGCUGCCUUCCUUUCACACGGUGAUGCCACCUAUUCGCCAAGCGGAUUCAGUGUCUGAAUCUAGAAAUGUGGUUCAAGCCAGAAGGUUUUCUGAUCAUGAAAGAAGCAUUUCUCAUCUUGUCUAAACUACACCCUCUUUAAAAAUCAUAACUGUAAAACUUCCUGUAACAUACCCGGAGUUCUGAAUAAAUAAUAGUAAACCAAAGUAACUUUAAAAGUUUAAAUUUUUCCCUUUUAAAGUUUUGCUUUACACAUCAGUCAUGUGGGAUUGAUGUUAACCUUGUGCCUGGUUGCUGGCUACAAGCCUUUCUCUUCCAGGUCACUGAGGAGGGCAGAUAAGUAAGAGUUUAUUUUCAACAUCAACUCUCUCUGCUGCUUGUUCAAGUGAUAUGCAUGUAUGUCCUGGGGCUUCUCUGGUUGGGGCGGGUGAGAGGUAAAACAAGCAGGCUUCUUCCCUUGGGACUCGGGACAAUCUGUAACCCACUGCUGGCCUCAGGCAUGGGGAGGGAUACAGGAUUUCACUUCACCUUCAAGCCAUCCUUCUUCUAGUCCUUGGGGUUUCGUGCGCCUAUUGAUCUUGUAGCUGCCCAGCUGCCCAUUGCAGUGGCGGAUGAGGUCGUCCAUGCUGCUCAUGAGCAGCCCGAGGGUUUCGCAGCCAGGCUCCUUGCCCUCCACCCAGGUGAUCUGGUCGCCCCGGAUGUCCUUGGACGAGUCGCUCUUCUGGCUGACCAGCUGCCCGUCCGUGAACUUGCCGGUGUCGUGCAGCGCGCGUCUCGCGGCCCAGGAAGUCGUCUGUCACGCAGAUGCCGUGCUUGUUCAUGCACGGCACGAUGUACUGGAGCGCCAGCUUCAGCGCGGUCAGCGGCUUCGUCUGCCCGUUGGGCCGCGGUCCCCUGGUGCCGCCGCCAGGGUUCAGCGCCUCCCCGGGGCUCAGCAGGGUGCGCCCGGCGAACACCGGGUGGGGGAGCCUCGAGGUCGCGGCGGCCUCUGCUGGGGCCCCCAGCGGCGUCCCCGGGGACGGACACUGACAUGGGAUCGGCGCCGUCCCCGCGCAGUCCCGCCGUUGUCCGGGCCGCUCCCCCAACCCCAGGAGCCCCUUUGGGCCUGGCCUCGCCGCUCUGGCACACGAGCUUGUGCUUCUUCCAGUCCCGGCGCUGGUGCUCCUUGGAGCAGUAGAAAGAGCUCCGGCAGCGGCCGCAGCACAGCAGGUUCUCUAUCUUCCCGCACAGCUCGUAGUACUGGCGCUUGCGCUCGCUGGCGCUUGGCCCGCUGAGCCCGCCGCUGUCACUCGCCUUGGCAGAGCAGGCCGGGCGGCCGGCCCGGGGCGGCAGAGGGGCCGUUAGAGCGUCCGUCAGAGCGUCAUGCCGGGCCGCGCGCUCCGGAGACCCUCAGCGCCGCAUCGCGGCCCGCACGGUCCUGCAGAGCCUGCCUGGAUGUCCAGAUCUCAGCUGGACCCAGCUUAGAAUCUGUCGUGUCAGCCUUCAGGACUUCUGCCUGCCGGAGAUACUGCGCGCUCUGCAGGCUCAUCCUCCGCCGCCGCGUCUUCCCGUGAAGCCUCCGUGGGUCUCUUAGGCUCCUCAGAGGGUCCCCGCGGCCCCGCGGGUGCUGCCGGCCGCCGCCAUCUUCCUCUCCUCCAGCUCCUCCUCUCUAGGCGGGGCGGGGCGAUCUGGAAGUUCUCUUUCCUGAGUGUCUUUGGUUCCCCUGUCAGGACUGCUUCAGUGUUCUGAACAAAUUCAAAUGUUUGCCUUUCAUGCUUAUUUUGACUUUACAGCAAAAUCAGAAGUCUUAUGGAACCAGAGCUCAUGAAUAAAGUGAAGACAUACAAUA
ensembl:lncRNA